rnacentral:rRNA from 1 species
CCUACGGGGGGCAGCAGUGAGGAAUAUUGGUCAAUGGACGAGAGUCUGAACCAGCCAAGUAGCGUGAAGGAUGACUGCCCUAUGGGUUGUAAACUUCUUUUAUAUGGGAAUAAAAUGUUCCACGUGUGGGAUUUUGUAUGUACCAUAUGAAUAAGGAUCGGCUAACUCCGUGCCAGCAGCCGCGGUAAUACGGAGGAUCCGAGCGUUAUCCGGAUUUAUUGGGUUUAAAGGGAGCGUAGGUGGAUUGUUAAGUCAGUUGUGAAAGUUUGCGGCUCAAACGUAAAAUUGCAGUUGAAACUGGCAGUCUUGAGUACAGUAGAGGUGGGCGGAAUUCGUGGUGUAGCGGUGAAAGGCUUAGAUAUCACGAAGAACUCCGAUUGCGAAGGCAGCUCACUGGACUGCAACUGACACUGAGGCUCGAAAGUGUGGGUAUCAAACAGGAUUAGAUACCCUUGUAGUC